UAACACAUUUGUUAAUUGAGGGCCUCAAUUACACCAAAUCGCUCAAUUGGAGGGCUUAAUUCCACAAUCUUAAACUUGGAAGAACCUACAUACAAGAGAAACCAACAAGCUGAGGGGCUCAAUUAUGAAUUUUGCCUAGAAAAUUUGGAAGAAGUUUGUAACCGGAGUGGGUAGAUUAUUGGUCUCUCUCUCACGUAACCAUAUAAUAUGAAAGGUGACACGUAUGGUGUGACUUCGUUCCCUGCAGUUAGCCUCCAACACCUCCUCCAUUCAUUUCUUGUUUUCUUUCGUCUCCUUCCCUUUCCAACAAAAACCAUCAGGAUUUUUAUCAUAAAAGAGUGAAGAAGUAGCUAGCCGGACGUUCUCAAAUUCCAAAAGCCAAAAUGGGUUAUGUAAUAGUGGUAUCAUUGCCGUUAGUUCUGUUUAUCUUAGUUGUAGCACUUUUAUGUUAUAUUCUUGGUAGGAAUUGGGGCAGAAGAGAAGCAGCUCGAAUGCCUUCAUAUUAUGGGCCACCUGCCCCUCCUCCUCAAGCCCAAUUUCCACCUCAUCAGGACAAACAAUCUCAGGUUUAGUUUUGUUCAUUCCCUACAUAGAAAUCUUUUGUCCUCGAAAGCACAAAAAUGGAUGAAAGAUAAUGUGUUUUUCUGCAGCUUUAUGUUGUUGCCUACAGAUAUAUGUCUAUAUUUUUGUCUCUAAUCCAAAUUCUUACCUUUAUGAGUCUAUUAAAUAUAUAUAUGUAUGUGUAUCCGUUGCUGAUAAAAGAAAUAGAAUUAUCUGAAAAAAUUUCAGAGCAAUGCAUGUUGGUUUCUACCGAGGGUUUCAGUAAGUUUGUAAUACUAGGAAAAUGUUGCUGCCGAUUGAUGGUGUCAGCUAUGGCAGUUGUAGCCGUUUGGCUUUGUGGGUGCUGUGUCAGCUGUUCCUUUUGUAGCUUUAACCGUGCUUCCAGUAAAUGAGAUGAAGCCAAGGUCUUGACAUAGUACCUUUGGAUUGUUUUGGUCCUGCUUUAAAAUGGCUCUUGUUUGGUCUGUGUAUGGUCCAAAAUGUCACAGUUCAGCUGUGUCGUAUGAACCAUCAGAAUUCAGAAGAUUAUUUCUAGUGGUUAUGAACUACUCUAUUAUUAGCUAA